UAAAAUGUGAGAUUACCUUGUUUAUCUAAUUAAAACAUAUCAUGCUUUUGAUAGACCCCCAGUGAUUUUUAAAUACGCAAGAAGGAGUACGGAGGCAGCCACGUCAGCUAAGUAUCCAAAUUAAUUAAGCAUGCAGUUUGUUAUUCUGUUAUUUUGUUAGGGGGGAGGGUAGUGAGUCAGUUAGAGAGAUUGUCAAUAAAUGUAAGGGGGAGGGGCGGGUAACAAUUAGAGAAAAAUCAGGAAUCUGGUAGGAGAGUACAGAGCCUCUCGAAUGCUCUAGUUUGUUGGAGUCACAUUUUACGUUCAAUUCAAUAAAUUCACU
rnacentral:lncRNA from 1 species